UAGGGAAUCUUGCACAAUGGGGGAAACCCUGAUGCAGCGAUGCCGCGUGAGUGAAGAGGGCCUUUGGGUUGUAAAGCUCUUUCGUCGAGGAAGAAAAUGUCUGUACUCGAAUAAGAAGGUCCGGCUAACUUCGUGCCAGCAGCCGCGGUAAUACGGGAGUGGCAAGCGUUAUCCGGAAUUAUUGGGCGUAAAGAGCUCGUAGGUGGUUAGAAAAGUUGGUGGUGAAAUCCCAAGGCUUAACCUUGGAACUGCCACCAAAACUUUUUAACUAGAGUGUGAUAGAGGAAAGUGGAAUUUCUAGUGUAGAGGUGAAAUUCGUAGAUAUUAGAAAGAACACCAAUUGCGAAGGCAACUUUCUGGAUCACUACUGACACUGAGGAGCGAAAGCAUGGGUAGCGAAGAGG
rnacentral:rRNA from 1 species